UGUCAACGGGUCGGAUUCUAGCCGGAUUUUAAAAAAUCCAAACCCAAUCCCGAUUCCAAACCCAAAACCUGAACCCGAUUCCGAACCCGACGGAUUUUAAAAAUCCAUAUCCAAAUCCGAACCCGACCAAAAAUCCAAAACCCAAACCCAAAACAAUUAUUUAAUUUUUCAAUAUUUCAAAAUGUUUUAUAUUAAAUCUAGAUUUUUAAAAUUCAAAUUCAAAUAUAACAUCCAUUUUUUAUAUACACAUUACAUAUAAUGUAAAAUAAAUUCAAGUUCGGGUUGGGUUCAGAUUCAGGUCGAGUACGGUCAAAAUCUAUAUCCGAAUCCAUAUCCGUCGGGUUUUUGUUUUUGAUAUCCAUAUCUGAAACCAUAUUCGUUUAGCAUCGAAUAAAUUCGCUCCGUUCGAAUUUGAAUUCGGAUAAAAUUUUAGGUAUUCGUUCCCAUUGACAUCCUUAUCCCUAGCCCAGACACAACUUGCAAGCAGGAUGCUGAAGGGUCAACAUCCAAAUGAUGAGGGCUUUCCCCCACCAACUCUUUUUUCAAAUGUGGGCAUUACAAUAACUUGGACUGCUGCAGGGAGAAGCUUUUCUUUGGUGUAAAGCUUUUUAGGUUGAGGCACUUCCAUUAUAUUCUCCUGGAUUCCAAUCAAAGCAUCCCCAAGAAUUGUAUAAAAGUUGGAUCCUCUCAAUAGAUCUCAUCCUAACAUCAUAAUAAUUAGGUGAUCAACAAUUUUAUGUCAUCGGCCGUACCUAGCGUAGUCGGCUAAGAGCUUGAUUGUGUUUGGAAUUGACUAGACCGUCCGUCAUGCGCUGCAAAAACAUAUGCACAAAACCAGAGAAACCAAUCGGUAAAAAUUAAAAAAAAAAAAGUAGAAAGAAGAGAUCCAGAUUUACGUAGUUCGACAAUUACAUGUAUUCCACUAUAUGAAGAAAUAAAAGUAUAAGCUUAAGCAGUUAAGCCUUAUAGCUUCUCCAGAUAAAAAAUCAAGAGCUUUACGGUGAACCUUAUAUUUCUUUUAUGUUAACAAAGACUUUAAUUUAUACCGUUUGGUUCGGGUAUAAGCAAGAACUAACUAUUACAGGGAUAGGUACAAGUAUAGGGAUAAGAAAAAUAGCGUUUGGAUGAAAAUUGGGUUGUUCCCGGGGAUAAGAAAAAUAUUAGGUAGUUUUAUAUAGAAAAUGGAGGUGUUGGUGGGGAUAACCGAGAACAACUAUUUACGGGUAAAAAAUUAGCGUUUGGGUAUAAAAGGGGGGAUAAGGGCCUAUCCCUAUUCCUAUUCCCUAACCAAACGCUGAUAACCGAAAAGAGUAAUUGAGAUGAGUAAAUUAAAGAAGUACAAAAAACCCUCUGACCAAAUCAUUUAUGUCGCCUGCUUCGAAGAAUCCGAACUACUCAGGCAACUGGUCGAGAACCUCCACUCUGUUGCCGGCUCUGAUCUCGAUGUAACAUGCGAGGCCGCCUCUCUCCUGCCGUCGUUCAGCCACUCGACGAUGUUUGCAAAUUAAUUAGUGCCACCCUUUAUGCUAAUUAAUUUGGUUACAACCUCUAACUUUGAAGAUGAAAUCUUUGACAUCGCUGCUGUAACGUAAAUCUUAUACUCUGAUACUACUUAUUAGGAACAUGACGAACGGUCUAUUCAGUUUCCAAUAAUUUAUUAGUAUAUGAAGUUUUAAGUUUGAAAUUUAGUUGUUUUAUAAUUCUAAUUAAGUUUAUAUCUAAAACUACAAACAAAGCUGUUUAGCAUACUAUCUCUCUCUUUCUCAAAAAAAAAAGAAAAAAAGAAAAAAAGAAAAGAGUCAUGAGCCAUCUUAACUAAAUUUUAGGGCAAAAAUGAUUAGGCAGUCCUUGCAGUGUCUCAUAAUUGCAAUUUGGUCCCUGACCCCCUUCAUAAGUAACAUAAUUCACUUGUUCCUCUUUUACCCCUCAAGUAUAAGCCAUUUUUGUAAUGGACACCAAAAAUUUUGUUUUUCAUUUUAGUCAAGUGAAUUGGGAGUGCAAUUUAGCUUAUAUCAGAUUUCAUCAAAUGAAUUGCAUCUAUCAAAAAUAGAAGUUCAAAUGUUUGAUCUGAGCUUUAAAAUUUUCAUAUAAUCAUAAUAAGCAAAUCAAAAUUUUGUUAAUAAAUGAAUAUUUACUGCAUAAAUGAAUAAUACUAAAUGGAUAAGUGGUAUACAGGUCAAAUAUGUAUUUCAUAAAUAUAUUUUUAUUUGAAUGAUCAGAUAAGGAGAAACUUCAAUUUACUACAUGAUGUGGUUUAGGUAGGGGUGAAAGUGGUUACGAUAAACUCCGAUUAAAUCCGAGACCAAAUUCGACAAAAUGCGAAUAUGAAUGUCAAAAUUUAGUAUUCGACACAUAUUCGCAUCUGAAAAAAAAAUCUAAAAAAAGAUAUGGAUGUGAAUAUAGUUUCUCAAAAAAAAACCAACAGUUUUUUACCUGAUGGAUAAAAUAAUUUUCUAUCUCUUCUUCAUUUACUUUAUUAUGAGUUUCAUGUUACAGUGGCAUUUAUAUUUGUUAAAUACUAAAUUUUAUCAAAUAAAAUAUAAUUAUACAAAGUUUAAACAUGAAAACAUUAAAUUUUAUUCAAUAUUGAAUACAAAUCCGAUUCAUAUCUGAAUCCAAAUCCGUUUUUAGCGGAUACGACAAUGACACAUUUUCACAUCCAAAUUCGCAUCCAAAAAAACGAGUGAAUAUGAUUUGUCAAAUAUUCGACCAUUUUCACCCUUAAGUUUAGGGGUGUUUGGUUAUUUAAGCAACCCUGGAAAACUAUUUUUCAAAGAAAAAAAUUCAUGAAAAUAUUAUUUUGCAAAGUUUCAAUUUUCGUAUAAAAAAUUUGUAAAAUGAAGACACUUAAGCUUAACACCAAAAUGCUCCAACUCAUGAAACACAAAAUAAUAAUUUAAAUUUAAACCCAAUGUAACAUUUUACUAGCUCACAAAUCACAAUCUUGUAAUUGGCUAUACUAUGAUUUGCUAAAUAAAUCACUUUACUAUUCUACUUAACAACAGAUCAGUAGGGUGAAACAAAGACACUCAUUUGCCGGUAAAAUAAAAUUUGUUUCCAAUCACAAAGUGACAAAGUGAAAAUGCGGUAUGUCGGAUAGUUAAUGCUAACCAUUAAUCCUAAAAGUUCGAACUUUAAAAAUACGCAAUUAAUUCACUUAAAAUAUACACUCUAAAAUACGCAAUCAAUUGACUUAAAAUAUACAGACGCAGGGCCCAGGAUCUCGAUUGUGACUCGAUUGUGACUCGAUCCAACCAACCUCACGCCACUUCAAAUAUUGACUCAACCUAACCCAACCUCACGUCAUUUCAAACGUGGCUCGGCCUAACCUGAACUCCCGUCACAAGACAGGAUGCUGACUCAUUUAAGCCACCACGCUAAACCACACGGAGGCUAAAUUGAAGUUUACCCAAGAAUUGUUCUUGGUACAUCUUUGUCAACAGGAAAUGACUACUAGGGUUACCUCCAGAUGCAACAAAAAGAUAUAUAUAUGUAGGCAACUAGAAGUUCUUAACAGAAAACCAAACUCUCCGAGUCUAGUAAUAUAUCUGAUGCUUAGGAGAAGAGCGUCGUGAUCGUACAUAAUGAAAUCAUCACACAACAGUACACGGAAAACAAAUGAUUCACGCGACGAUCGAUAAACCCUCCUUCUUGGGGGCGGCGAUUGAUAAACCCUCCUUCUUGGGGGCCCUAUUCCCGGGAAACGCAUUACGAGAAACAUCCACAAGUGCCUUGAAACUAUAUGGCUCAUGCAUUGAUAGCUCCGACAGCACCUUCCGGUUCAGCUGAAUGUUUUCCUUCAUCAAACCAUGCAUAAAGUUGCUGUAAUUCACCUGGAAAGAAAAAACGAAGAACGAAUAAUCAUAUAUAUAUAAAUAUAAAUAUACAAAGAAAAAAGGCAAGUUAUGCCAACUGGAGCUAUCAAUAUAGCGCGCAAUUGCUACAGCAAAUGAGGAACAAAGAAUAGGCGAAGAAAUCUUUGAGCUUCUCAAGCGAGUUACAGUUGUGAAGUAAUAUUCAAAUUUCAUUAAUCAAACACCUUUUGAAGCGGUAGUACCCUAAAUUCAAACAUAUAACUCCCCGUAGUUUAAUCAAAGCUCCAGCCACAAUUCUAAGAGUGUUCUGGAACAAAGACUUGAAGAAGCAAAAUGAUGCAUAUUCUACUCAUAAUAAUAUAAACCAAAAAGAAAAGAAGAGCAAAACAAAAAGCUGCUUGCAAACAGUCAAUUAGGCAUCUAAAACCCUAAUACAAAAUGAAAUUUUCCGGCCAUCUCAAAUUAUCUCUGAAACAUUUAUUUUUUAUGAACAAAAAAAAAAAGCCUCAAUAAACUAGCAUGAGAAGAAAGAAUUAUUUGAAAAGAUUACAAUACACAUGAACCUAAAUUACAAACAGCAUCCUCUGCAGUGAUUCCUCUAGCAGCCUUUAGGUGUCAAGACAUAGCCCUCUUGCUGCAGGUUAAUCCGACCACAAAUUGUGGAACAAAUUACACUGGCUAACUACAUGUCCACCAAGUUCAAUACUCAUAUAGAGCUUUGCCAACUUUGAGUUGCACACUAGAGAAAACCCCUUCUUAAGUCCGGGUAAAGGUACAGGUUAGAUGAAAGCCAGUCCACCAUCUAAUACCUUCAAUCUAGCGUCCGGCUAGUCAUAAGCCCUAAACAAAGGACUUUGCACACUAGAGAAAAACUAUUAUUAAGAAAAGGCUGGAGACGAUUGAUGUAUCAGUAAAUAGGAGAGAGGUAGAUGAACUUAACUGUUCCAAAAAUGGCUAGACUUUCUGAACCAUUCACAUGGUUUGAUCUAUAAACCAUCUGUUGUUUUGCUUAUAUCGCGUUUAUUUGGCAUAAUCAUGCAUUGCUAACUGAAUUCUGAACUUGAUAUAGUUAUUCCACUAAGUAGGCUAAUCUAAACAUGUGCCUUUUCCUACUGGAGCUCAAUCUUACGUAAGAGCAAAACAUUAAUCCAAGACAACAAAUGUCUUCCCAAUGGUCAAAUCAAGCAUUUAUCAACCAAUGCUUGAUCAUACUACACAUAAGUACAUGAAACGAGUUUCCCUCACAAAAUAUACACCUUUCAUGCAGCAAAAACAACUCACUGUAGGAAGAAAACAAUCCAUCUUCUUACAUUAGAUGUUUCUUGAAUUCUUUAGCGCAAGUGUUAUCUGUAAUGAUGGGUUGACCUUUGGAUAUCCCACUGGUAAUUGGAGUGCUGGGGAACCUUUCCACACCUUGGCGAAAGGACACCAUGUCUUCUCUUUAGGUAAUAUUGCGUGUGACUUUUCCUGAUUUUGUGCGGUUGUGUCUUUCCUAUUUGAAUACUUAAGUUGUUUAGGCAAUCCAAGAACACUAAUCUUUGUUCUAUUUAGGACCCUUUUGGUAAUUGAAAUAUAUAGGGAAUCCGGAGUUGGGGUGGAAACAUAUAGGAAUAUGCUUCUCCACUUACCAGCAGGACCACAGAAAAUAUAACGUAACUGACUCAUUACAAUAUACACAACGUGAAACUACGUACGGAAACAAAUAGGGUAAUUUUCAUUGGACAUCCUCGCCAUAUAUAACACAACUUCCCAGCAAUCCUGAACAAAGCCUUAGAGAUUACAAUAGUUUCUUUAGUUUAAAAAACGAUAUACAUAAUAUUUCAUUAGGAAAGUAUCAAGCCAUGAUAUGUCCGAUUUUCGCCAAUACGUAGAAUGCUAUAUUGACAUCUGUAGUUCAGAAUCCAAAUUAGACCCUUCAAUCCUUUUUAUUCAUAACCAAGAGAGGGUUCCUUUACGGACAAACUCUUUAACAACAGAUCAAGUUUUCCUUCAUUUAUGCUACAAGACCAUAGAAUUAUUGACCCCCCAAACAUGGAAACAAAAUGACAUAGAUGUACAUUUGUCUUGACCAGGAUGCUCAAAUGACUGUAUCUUAUGGAAUAACUAGUUUCAAGUGCCUAACCCCUAAUUUAGGGGCUGAUUGUCUUUUCAGCUCUAAAAUCUAAAACUUCAGGGCCUGUAUCUAUUUGAUCUUGAAGGGGGGGGAAACCAUUAAGUUCACAUUUGAUAUACACGAUAGGGACAACCACACCAUAAAAUAGCUCAUAAAUGCCAAAUUUUCUCUGAAUUAUUCGACAUCGACAGUAUGUAUGCCAUGCACAAAGAACAAAGAUGUGCUGCCUUGUGCAAAGAUGUGCUGCCAACUAAAUUCUAAGAUUACAGUUGUUCACUAAUUAAGCUAAUUUUAACAAGUGUCUUUUUCGACCUGAUCUACAUAUUGCAAAAAUAGAACAGCAUUAAACCAAGGCUAUGACUACCUUUCCAGCAAAAAAGCUCUUAAUCAAACAAUGCUCGGCUACACUAUGGAUAGAUACAUGAAAGGAAGUUUCUCUCGCAAGGUAUGUACACACUCUUUACCCCCAAAAAAAUACGUUGUAGGGAGCAAAUGCAAUCUAUCAUUUUAUAUCUAUUUCUAGGCCUAAUUUGGAAAUGUGUUGUCCAAACGCACUUGCUUUGAUACUUUACAAAGCCCGAAAAGAUUGAAAGCACUCUAACACUUUUAUCCUCUAAUGCUGAAAAAUAGUGGUAGGACUCUCCAAUGGCAGUUUCUUCUACCACCAUUAUAAAGCAUCAGACAAGGGAAGCUCUAAAGCACUUUUAAAUCUUUUGGACCUUCUAAAGCAUCAAAGUAGGUGCGUCUGGACAACGCAUUCCUAAACUAGCCCUACAAAAGUUAUAUGAUGAGAAAUUGCUUUUUCUUGACACAAUACGAUUUCUUUUAUGAACUAAAGGGAAGGCACACACCUUGCGCCCUAAACUCUCAUUCACAUAUUUAUCACCCUAAGGCAAUUAUUUCUUUUCUUGCUUUUUCCAACGUGCCGUUAAACCAGUGCUGCUCAAUGCAUUCCCAAGCCAAACAAUAGUAAUUCAAGAACUACAAUGACAAUACGAGUUACCCUGCGUGAAGAUACAUACCUUGUGCGCAAAAUUCCCGUUAAUAUACUUUUUUUUUUCCGUUUUCGUUUUUUUUUUUUUUCCACCAAUGCAUUCCCAAACUAAGUCUUACCAAUUCAAGAAUUGAAAUGACAAAAAUUGCAACUUUGAUUACCCCGUGAAGCCGCGCGCCGGCGUUGAUGCGCUCGAUCCAGAGCGACCGCAUGUCGCGCUUCUUGUUCCGCCGGUCCCUGUACGCGUACUGCAGCGCCUUCUCCACCCUCUCCCUCGCGAUUCGUAUGCAGUUCUUCGCCCUACCUCUGAAUCCCUUCGCCAACUUAAAGAUCUUGUCCUUGUUCAUCUUCCUUAUCUCCCCCCUACCACCCCUUUCCCUCUCUCUAACUGGGUUUACCUAUAUAUGCGUUUUGGGUCAACUCACUCCCAAUCCACACACAACAAACCCUAAAUUCGACCACACACGCACACAUACACAGAGGAGAGAGAGAGAGAGGGAACCUUGGAGAGGUGGAGGCGACGGAGAAGAUGCCAAUGGCGCAGGGAGAGAGAGAGAGAGAGAGAGAGAGAGAGAGAGAGAGAGAGAGAGGNUUUUCUCACCAAUCCCUCAAAGUAACGUCGUUUCAAUUUCCAAACUAUAUCAGCAAUAUAAGGUUUACGAGUUCCUCAACCCCUUGCUAGCUCAUUUUUGCAUGCUAUAUAUGUAAUGCCACUGUAAAAUUAGAAAACAAACAAACAACCUUUCAUUCUAAGCGUAAUUGUUUAGUUAAUUAUGUAUUCCGCUCAUAAACUUCAAAUAUCUUCCUAUGGUUUCGUAGUUUCUCACUUUAGUACCCUGUGGUUUAAAGUGUAUCAAGUUAGUACCAUGUGUUUUUAUUUUUUAUUUUUUAAUUAUCUAUUUCGGGAUAUUUUUUUUCGUUAAAUCGGUGACAAAGUUAAAACUAAAGGGUACUAAAAUGAAUAUUCAAUAAACCUAAAUAGGGCAUCUGAAUUUUUUAUAUAUAAUUUAACGAAAUAUUAAACCACAGGAUACUAAAGUAAGAAAGUGCGAAACCACAUGAUACUAACUUGAUACACUUUAAACCACAGGGUACUAAAGUAAGAAAGUGCGAAACCACAGGGUACUAACUUGAUACACUUUAAACCACAUGGUACUAAAGUGAGAAAGUGCGAAACCACAUGGGGGUAUUUGAAGUUUUUUCUAGAAUUUAUCUCAACUUUGAAUUAUUUGAAUCAGCUACGAAUCAUUCAAAUUUUUUACUGAGUCAACGAUACUUUGACUAUAAAAUUUAAAAUAAUUAUUUAUUUUAGCAAAUCUAUAAUUUUAAAAAUUACAUAAAAUAUGCUAAUUAAAUUUGUAAGGAUAAACAAUACAUUUAAAUUUUAAAGUCAAAAUGUCGCUGACACAUUCAGAUUAACAAAAUAAAAAAAAAAAUAGAUAGUAAGAUUAAAAUUUUAAAAUAUUAAAUAAUUAACUCAAAAUUAUCUAUAGUUCAAGUCUCAGUACAUUUUUAUUUUUUCUUUUUUUUUAAGAUAAAAAUGUAUCAAAACCCAUCAACUAUUGAGCAUUUUGAAAUAGACCACUCAACUUUUUUCUUUUUUAACUUGAGAUCCCCUCUUUAACCUCCUUUUUUCCGUUGAGUUAAUAAACCAAGCCCUAAAAUUUAAUGACACUAUUGUUUAUAUUAGCACUAUUAUUUAUAUUAGUUGUAAAAUUCAAAAUUAAGUGGUAACUAAAGUAAUUACAAAAAAUUCGUAAUAAAUUUUAGAUUUUAAAAUUUUAAUGGUGAUCUAUUAAUGUUAGGCAUGGUUUUCCUUUCAAUUACUUUUGUUUUUUUUUUCCUGCAAAAAUAAGUUAAAAUACUUCUAUUACUAAAUAGAGUUGUGUACGAAUAUUUUUUAUAACUAAUCCUAUCAAUUUUUAUAAUUAUAAAAAUAAUUGUCUUAAAAAAAAAUUAUAAAAAUAGACCUUUAAAUGCGGUGAAUGAUUCACCGCAUUCAUAACUUCUAUUUAGCAGCAGAAAAAUAAUAAAAGCGGUGAACUAUUCACCGCUUUUACCAUCGUAGAAUUAUAAUAAAAAGGAAGAAAAAGAAAAAAAGCAGUGAAUGGUUCACCACUUUUAUAAAAUUAUAUCUACAAAUAAAAUUUUAACAGGUUUAUUUUUAAAAUAAAAUUUUAGAAGAGAACUAUUGAACUAAAAACCCGGUUGUGUACUCAAGUAUCACCCCUGCGGUGAAACAUUCAAAUCAAUAAUUAGAUUAAAUAUGACUUAUGCUAUGUGAACUUCAUGAAAAUUAAAUUUUAUAAUAUUAUUUAUCCAGUCACCAAGUGCACUCAAAUUUACUAUUUAUUAGCCGUUGAAAAUUAUCAAUUUGAAAAUCACUUGAAUAUUAGACAAAUAAUAUUAAAAAAUUAUAAAAUUACUAUUGCAUGCAUUGCUAUAGCAAAACAAAUAUAGUGUGGGAGCUGCAUUGAGACAAGAAGGCCAAAAUUGCUUUAGAAAUAAAAUUAGACUAAAUUAUCAAAAAUUUUCUUGUAAAUAUAUAUUUUUUUUAUUUUUACUUUCUGGCUUUCAAAAAUCUAUAUUUUGCCAUCCUAAAAUUUCAAAAAUAUUUUCAGAAGAAUAUGACAUUAAUGGAGAAGACAAAGUUACCAAAUUGCCCUUAUUUUUUUAUAAAAAAUUUUAAUAUAUUUUUAUUAUUUUGAAGGGUAUUUCGAUAUAAAUUAUAAAAAAUAAACAGAACAGUGAUGAAACCCUGACGGAAGAAGCUAAAUGCAACAACUUGAAAUCUUUCGAAAGUAAAAUGUGAAUUUUUUACAAUUAGAGAAGGAAAGUGAAAAGCAAAUAUUUAUAAAAAAAAUUAUCUAUAAUUUAGCCAUAAAAUUAUUUAUAUUAAAAAGCACAAUAAAUUAACUAAAAUAAUCCCCAGUAACACUGAGGCCCCUCCACACUAGUUUAAUUACCUCCCCCAUUCUUUUCUUUUUCCCCUAAUUUUUUCCACAAUUAAAUGCACUUGAUGGACCAUUUAAUUUAAUUUAAUUUAAUUUAGUUUAAUGCUUUGAUUUGGGACCCCCUCUGCAAAAAUUCCAAGCAUAAUUUUUACACNAAAAAAAAAAAAAAAAAAAAAAAAGAAAAAUCUGUAAAAAGGAUGGAUUCCCACGGAUAAAACUGCAGCGUGAGCUUUUCAUCGACGCCUCGUUAGAAAUCUCUAAUUUAUUAAAUACUUUUUAAAUUUAAAAUUAAAAAUUUUAAAUUUUAAAAAUAUUUCAAUUAAUAUGUGAGGAUGAUUUGAAAUUUUUUGAUGAGACGUUUUCCUCGUAAUUAUUAUUAUUAUUAUUUAAUUUUUGGGUUGGGAGAGAGUCACGUGGGAGGGGUGGGAGUGGGAUGGGAGUGGGUGCGUCCUCUUUUGCCUCGCCCCGUCAUUCAGCGUCCGCUGCGGUGCGGUGGGUGCGCACCCGAAAAGAAGAUCCCAACCACCCAUGCCUCUCUCUCUCUCUCUCUCUCUCUCUCUCUCUCUCUCUCGCAUCCAAAUCACUCACUUAACCCAAAGCAAGAGAUUUUUUUAAAAAAAAAACACAAGCAAGAUGUGAUUAGGCCGACGCAAAUAGGGUGGGUCCGGAGACGGGAGGGGUCUUGCACCACCCACUCGGUUCUCUUGGUGGGUCGGGUCAGAUUUGAAACGGAGUGAUUUUUAUUUUACUCUUUGUCCCUCUUUAAGAUUUGUUUAUUUUACUUAUAAAGGAGAUGCAUGUUAAAUAUAAAAAUGUUUAAAUAUCGUUCUUUAAGUACAACGAUUGUUUCACAUGAUAUCAGAGCAGGAGAUCCUAAAUUCGAGUCAUAUCAUACUCCUAGCAUAUUAAUUUUCUCCCAUUUAAUACAAGCCCACGUCAUGGAUCGACUAAAAAAUCUCGAGCCCAGACGUGAGUCAAGACGUGAGGGGAAGUGUUAAAUAUAAAAAUGUUUAAACACCGUUCUCUAACAGCUUAAACUUUUAGAGUAUAAUGGUUGUUUCACAAUGCAUAGGUUGAAAUAAAAUUUCAGAUGAACUAGAAAUUUGAAAAAAAAAAUUACUAAUUUUUUUCUGUUUAUUUUUGUAACUGUGGAAUUGAAGUUCUUUCGUUUUUGCUGUUUGUUUGACAGAAAGUAAUUAGCGUAAAAGCUGAAGUUUCCAAAUGUUAAUAUUUUAUUAUUUUUUAUACUAUUUUUUCAUAAUUGACUUUCACCAAAAAUAGGGUGAAAUUAAUUUUAGUAUUUUAGAGAGUUUGAGUUUCAACUGUAUAUAAAGUUGCGAUGAACCAAACAACAAAAGUAGAUACUUACGGUUGAAAACCACUUCACUGCCCUCCACUUUUUAGUGAAACAAAUGCACCUUUAUCACUUCAUUUUGAAGUAGAUAUCAAAUCAGAUCAAGAAAAGAAAAGGAACCUCGUCUUCCACUCCCUCUUUUUAGCAGUUCAAGAUGUAUUUGAUACGAAUUAAUUUGCUUUCCUUAUUUUUCGCCUCCGCUCACUGCCCGUUCCGAACGAAUUGGAGCAGAAGCUUCAUUAACUCAGAUCUAUUUGCUUCCCUAACGGCACUAGUGUAAUUUGUAAGCAACCCACAAGUAGCUAUGUUAGCCUAUAAAUUGUGUACAAAUACACUCCAUAAAACAUUAUAUGUCUUUUUAAUUCUCUAUUAUGGACCGACUAAAGAUUCCGUAUUUUUAUACAUUUUUACUAAGAACUCAACAUCAUCGUCUUUCUUUUUCAUACUAGUUUCUUAUUCUAUCUCCAGUACAAAUAUAUCUAUCGACAUCAGCAUCUUUAGCUACCUUUCAGACGAAAAAAGCUAUUUGAACCGAAGAAUAGCAUUUCGAACAACUCACCGAAGAAGCACAAGCGACAGGCCAGAGGCCAUCCGAUCGAGUUUAACAACAUCUGGAAUUCCGCCGAUAGCUCCGAUCACACUUAGCUUCUAAGUUCCACAAAGGCUAUCUAUUAAAUUAUACGCGAGACUAUUCACAUUCUUCAAGCAACAAACUACGUUGCGACAAGCGCUUUCCACAGAAGCUCCACUUGAUCAUGUACACAAAGAAUCACUUUAAUUAGCAAUAACACAAACUUGAUCUCUUCUGAGUUUGUGGGAAAGGAGUCAAAAAGCAAAUAAAAAGGAAGAAGAAGAGAGGGGGUGGAGGAAGCACCAUCACCACGCCGUACACAUCUUUCGGCCAUUUACAUAUCAAUCCCCUGCAAUAGCAUUGCUCUUGUGUUAGGAAAAAAAAAAAAAGAAGAGCACUCCUCCCUAAAAAUUCCCAGUGCUAACUAAUGAUUACGGCGUUACGUCGCUAAUCUUUCAAAUGACACACGCGAAUAUCGCAUACUGUAUUACUUCAAAAUUCGUGCAUUUUAUUUGGCGGGCAAUUUUGUUCCAUGAUUACUGUUGUGAGAUUAAGUCGCACUUUUGCGUUUUCUAAAGUAAUAAAAGUAUGCUAAUUUUUUUAAGACGGACGCGCAUUAUUUAGCAAUUAAAAUAAGAAAGAGGAGGGAAAGUCGUUUGGUGUCCAAUAUUUGAAAUAGGACAGUCACGUGAGUACAGGUGGUCCCCACAGGGCACGUGAGGGCUUGUAAGAGGUUUGGUUGCUUCUGUAUAUAUAUAUAUAUAUAUAUAUAUAUAUAUAUUCUUAUCAAUUUAGGACGCGGAUAAGGAGAGUAUUUUCUAUAACGUAGAUUUUUUUUAUAUUAAAAUAACACCGUCCAAAUAAAAAUAAUUUAGAGUAGUUUUUUAUUAUAUUUGGCAUGAUUGCAUUGGCCUAAUAUAAUAAAUUGGAUAACUCGCAUGUUUGGUCCCGAAAGCAUGAGAGGUGUGGUAUUUUGAUUUUCAAAUUUUAAUUUAUUAUAAUUUUUAUAAUAUUUUGACUAAUAAUACGGUAAUAGUUAUAUUAGUAAUGCAUGAAUAUUUAGUCAACUAAAUUAAAUUGCGAGUCUAAAUUACAACAAUUCUUGAAAUUCGAAUUAAAAAUUAUAAUAGAUUAAAGUUAAAGAUUCAAAUUAUCACCCGCCACAUAGUUUGAGCACCAAAUGUACCAUUUAUUACCGAAAUCAAGGUCAAUACAGUUCCAAAUCUCUCUUACUCAAUCUUUUGUUAUUAGAAAGAAAUUAAUAUUAUCAAAAUAAAUGGCCAUAAUUCGAUUAUUUUAUGCUAUGACAAGAUUAAUUUUUCAUGUAUUGGAAUAAAAAAUUGUAAGAUUAUUAAGAACAUGGUAAGAGGGAGGGGGAGAGAGAGAGAGAGAGAGAGAGAGAGGCGACGUGAAUGGGGGAGCAAAAGAGAGGGUUUUGAGGGCUAGGGUUUUGUCGCACGGAUCGGUGGAGCUCGGAGGUGUCGAACCGAAGCGGACCGACUGAACCGGAAUGAUUGCGGCUUGGUUUGGUUUGGUGCGGUUCGGUUUAAGAUAAACCAUUUUUUUUGUAGAAAAGUUAUAGAAUUUAAAGAAAACUUCAAAUACCUGGUUUCGCUCUUUCUCACUUUAGUACCAUGUGAUUUAAAGUAUAUCAAGUUAGUACCAUAUGGUUUCGCACUUUCUCACUUUAGUACCCUGUGAUUUAAAGUGUAUCAAGUUAGUACUAUAUGGUUUCAUUUUUGUAUCAAGUUAGUACCAUGUGGUUUCAUUUUCCUCUUUUUAAUAUUCAUUUUGGGGUUUUUUUUUAUUAAAUCAGUGACAAAGUUAAAACUAAAGAAUACUAAAAUGAAUAUUCGAUAAACCUAGGUAGGGUAUCUGAAGUUUUUUAUAUAUAAUUUAACGAAAUAUUAAACCCCAGGAUACUAAAGUGAGAAAGUGCGAAACCACAGGAUACUAACUUGAUACACUUUAAACCACAGGGUACUAAAGUAAGAAAGUGCGAAACCACAGGGUACAAACUUGAUACACUUUAAACCACAGGGUACUAAAGUGAGAAAGUGCGAAACCACAAGAGGAUAUUUGAAGUUUUUUCUAGAAUUUAUGUCAACUUUGAAUUAUUUGAAUCAGCUACGAAUCAUUCAAAUUUUUUACUGAGUCAACGACACUUUGACUAUAAAAUUUAAAAUAAUUAUUUAUUUUAGCAAAUCUAUAAUUUUAAAAAUUACAUAAAAUAUGCUAAUUAAAUUUGUAAGGAUAAACAAUACAUUCAAAUUUUAAAGUCAAAAAGUCGCUGACAGGUUCAGAUUAACAAAAUAAAAAAAAAAUAGAUAGUAAAAUUAAAAUUUUAAAAUAUUAAAUAAUUAACUCAAAACUAUCUAUAGUUCAAGUCUCAGUACAUUUUUUUUUCUUUUUUUUUAAGAUAAAAAUGUAUCGAAACCCAUCAACUAUUGAGCAUUUUGAAAUAGACCACUCAACUUUUUUCUUUUUUAACUUGAGAUCCCCUCUUUAACCUCCCUUUUUUCCGUUGAGUUAAUAAACCAAGCCCUAAAAUUUAAUGACACUAUUGUUUAUAUUAGCACUAUUAUUUAUAUCAGUUGUAAAAUUCAAAAUUAAGUGGUAACUAAAGUAAUUACAAAAAAUUCGUAAUAAAUUUUAGAUUUUAAAAUUUUAAUGGUGAUCUAUUAAUGUUAGGCAUGGUUUUCCUUUCAAUUACUUUUGUUUUUUUUUUUUUUCCUGCAAACAUAAGUUAAAAUGAAUAUUUUUUAUAACUAAUCCUACCAAUUUUUAUAAUUAUAAAAAUAAUUUUCUUAAAAAAAUAAUUAUAAAAAUAGACCUUUAAAUGCGGUGAAUGAUUCACCGCAUUCAUAACUUCUAUUUAGCAGCAAAAAAAUAAUAAAAGCGGUGAACCAUUCACCGCUUUUACCAUCGUAGAAUUAUAAUAAAAAGGAAGAAAAAAAAAGAAAGCGGUGAAUGGUUCACCGCUUUUAUAAAACUAUAUCUACAAAUAAAAUUUUAACAGAUUUAUUCUUAAAAUAAAAUUUUAGAAGAGAACUAUUGAACUAAAAACCCCGUUGUGUACUCAAGUAUCACCCUUGCGGUGAAACAUUCAAAUCAAUAAUUAGAUUAAAUAUGACGUAUGCUAUUUGAAUUUUGAACUUCAUAAAAUUAAAUUUUAUAAUAUUAUUUAUUCAGUCACCAAGUGCACUCAAAUUUACUAUUUAUUAGCUGUUGAAAAUUAUCAAUUUGAAAAUCACUUGAAUAUUAGACAAAUAAUAUUAAAAAAUUAUAAAAUUACUAUUGCAUGCAUUGCUAUAGCAAAACAAAUAUAGUGUGGGAGCUGCAUUGAGACAAGAAGGCCAAAAUUGCUUUAGAAAUAAAAUUAGACUAAAUUAUCAAAAAUUUUCUUGUAAAUAUUUUUUUUUUUAUUUUUACUUUCUGGCUUUCAAAAAUCUAUAUUUUGCCAUCCUAAAAUUUCAAAAAUAUUUUCAGAAGAAUAUGACUUUAACGGAGAAGACAAAGUUACCAAAUUGCCCUUAUUUUUUUAUAAAAAAUUUUAAUAUUUUUAUUAUUUUGAGGGUAUUUCGAUAUAAAUUAUAAAAAAUAAACAAAACAGUGAUGAAACCCUGACGGAGGAAGCUGAAUGCAACAACUUGAAAUCUUUAGAAAGUAAAAUGUGAAUUUUUUACAAUUAGAGAAGGAGAGUAAAAAGCAAAUAUUUAUAAAAAAAAUUAUCUAUAAUUUAGCCAUAAAAUUAUUUAUAUUAAAAAGCACAAUAAAUUAACUAAAAUAAUCUCCAGUAACACUGAGGCCCCUCCACACUAGUUUAAUUACCUCCCCCAUUCUUUUCUUUUUCCCCUAAUUUUUUUCACAAUUAAAUGCACUUGAUGGACCAUUUAAUUUAAUUUAAUUUAGUUUAAUGCUUUGAUUUGGGACCCCCUCUGCAAAAAUUCCAAGCAUAAUUUUUACACAAGCAAUACAAUAAGACUCACACAAGCAAAUUACACUGAGCUCCACUUCAAUAAGUAUGAUCAUCUCAAAGGGUUGAGCUACUCAGCAUAGUCAAGAGAAUAGCCAUUCCAUUCCAACCCUCAUCAGCACAAAACAAAAUUUGUCGAAGAACUGCGCCAUCGGAAGAUGCCAGUGUAGUUCCUUCCAGCGAAUUUACGGCAUUAGGAAAACAUAGAAAGAAGUAGAAAGGUGUUUCUUCGGCAGAAUAUCUCUCCGCGCAGAGAAAGCACCAAGAUAGCCAAGAACCAGUAGGUAGUAGGGGCGGAACCUCGAUCUUAUAGCAAAGUAAGCAUGAUUUGGUGUAGAAUCGAAAUACGAUCUUCAAAACGACGAGUCAGCGGUCGCAUCUUUAGAUUUGGAGGGCAUCGGCGAUUGAGCCGGCGAGGCUCAGCACCUCGAAUGGCAUCCUGUUGGCGAUGGCCUUAACUGUGAGAGGGCACGAGUCCGUGAUCCAGAAAUAAGCAAACUGGUUCCCCGAGCCAUCUGAACGGAGAGGUUAAAAUGAUCCGGUUAAACUAUCAAGGCAGGAAAGUUAGCAUAUAGCGGGAUCAAAGAGAUGUAGAUUACCGGCAAUAUUACUGUGUAGAAAUUGCUCCCAUGACUGCUUAGGGAACACGGCAUGGGUGACAUACGCGCUUACUUUUGCCGCACCAAAAGCAGCCAAGACUUUCUGCCAGAAUUAAAGAAGACAAUAAAUAGGUAUCUUUUGCAUUGGUUUCAGUAUGGAAUUAUUUACGUACAUGUUUGAAGAAAAGGAAGUUUAUGCGUUGGUGAUUUCGGAUGGAAACAUAUAAAUAAAUGGAAGCACACAAUUGAAGUAUGCGGUUAUAGCGUAUGUUAUCGUUUAUUAUUCCCGGAUGCUCAAAAGCCAUUUCUAGUUCAUAUAGGGAAGAUGGCAUUAGAGGAAGUUACAAGCUUUAACCUCCAAUACUGCAAGCAAGCUUUAACUUCCAAAAACUAUGGAGACGAAAAACAUGUAUAAAGAUCAAAUUCAUAUCCUUCAUAUUGAUGACAAAUCAAGACGGCCUAUAUUGGUAUAGAUACCUGACACUCGAUGAGAGUUCCUCCAGAUUGCACCAAGUCAUCCACAAUGACGACAUGUCGGCCUUCAGGGUUCCCUUCCUUAAUCCGAACUAUCCUCUUAUCGCCUUCACGAACCUUUGCACAAACAACCUGUUAAUAGAAGAGCUUGAGUCAGAUUAGUCAAGUGUAAAUCAAUCCUUCGAAAUUUUUUUUUAAAAAAAAAAUUCUAACCAUUGGAAAAUGCAGCAGUAGCUUGUGAAACCGCUUCCAUGCCCCAUCAUCUGGAAAUGCUAUAGUUAUCUGCAAGAAAAGAAAUAAAUAUAGAUAAAGAAAUAAGGGUAGAUUAAUGGACAGAUAGAUAUAAAUGUUGCUUCCCAAGUUCAGCUACUCAAAUAUUCGAUAAAAAGUAGUUAAAGAUACACAGGUUAUAAAAAAACAAAGCUAGGCAUGAUACAUACAUUAUCAGCAUCAGGAAGUUGACGAAGGCGCUGCAACAAUAAUGGAAUCCCAGUUUCAAAGCAAGGCAAAAUGUCAUCCCCAAAGUAGAAUCUUUCCUGAAGAACAAAAGUAAUAGUCCAGACAUAUGAAAACUAACAAAAGCAGAAUACUAAAGUAAAUUACAAAAGCAAAAGACACAGGGACCAUCGAAGAAGACAUAUAUAUAUAUAUAUAGAAAGAGAGAGAGAGUGGGUUUUGUGUGCUAUUAGGAGCACAGAGGCCUCUGUGCUCCUAAGCCGUUUUCAAUGAUAUAACUUCCAAAUUCACGAUCGGCUCCGUUAGACUUGAUCUAGCGUAUUUGAACUAUCUAGAAAAUAAAUUUUGCAGUUUUUCAAUAUCAUUUACCUAGUGAUUGAAAGGACUCAAAAUCACUGGUUGAAAAUAAAAAUCUCACAAAAAGUUAUGAUAUAGCACUGAAAUUUUUGAUCAAAAAUAUUGAACUUGUUGUAGAUAGUAUUAAAAAAUUUCUAUUAAAAUUUCAUCUAAUUUGAAUACUUCUACAUCGUUAAACUUGCAAAUGGCAUACAUCAACCAUUAAAAAUUGUUGAUUUUGAAUCCUUUCGAUCUCUAGGUAAAUGAUAUCGAAAAACUGCAAAAUUUAUUUUCUAAAUAGUUCAAAUACGCUAGAUCAAGUCUAACGGAGCCCAUCGUCGAUUCGAAAGUCCCAUCAUUGCAAACGACUUAGGAGCAUGGAGGCUUCCGUGCUCCUAACAGCACACAAGUCCUACUCUCUCUCUCUCUCUAUAUAUAUAUGUGUUCCCUGACUACUGAGCCGAAUCCAGCUCAAAAUGUGAGUAGAUUCUCUAGUAAGGAGAUCGACAUAUCUUUUACGCAGUCUCCAGGUCCCACUCAGUCUUUGUUAGGCAAACUCCUUUUAUUUGAUUGGUUUAAUAGUUCUCCUUGAUCUACAGAGAUCAUGAUUAAUAAAGCAACUCGAUGCAAACAAAAAUCUCAUAGCUGAUAUAUUCUGUACUUUGUUAUUUUUCUUCUUUUUCAUGCUAUUGAGGCCAAAGUUCCAAGUAAAAAUUCUGAAGGGCAAGUCUACGGUGCACCAAAACUGUUAGUGGGUCGCCAUCUUUUCUGCAAAUGAGUUGUUUUCAACUUUUUAUCUAAUCCCAUAGAAAGAAAGUAGAUGUUAAGGCAAGUUUCGUUGAAAAGGAAACAUGAGAUUUAGAAAAAUGCAGCUUUUUCGCCAUCUUCACAAUUUAAUGCACUUAAAUUGCAUUUGAUAUACUUCAUUUAAGGCCAACUUAGUUUUAAACCAUAUAACUUAGUUUUAAACCAUAUAUACCAAAUUGUUUUCCACUCCAUUUACCAGAAACACAUAGCCGUAAAGUCCAAGAUGAACCUAAAUAAAUCCACAAGAAUAUAAACAACAGCAUGAUACACUGAACGUCACUAGAUGCAACUUCACAAGUCUCUAUACUGAAAUUAAUCAGAGAAGCAUGCAAGCAAGAUGUUACUGUAAAUAUUCAUGGAAUGACGAUUAAACUACAGAAGUGAAUUCAAGCUUUAGUUAUAAAACAAACCAACCUGCAAAGCAUGUAUAUCAUAGAUGACUAGACUAGUUGGGCCGCCCCUUGAUUUAGGAAUCAUUGACAAUAUUCUUGCCAUAGUAAAUGCAGUAGCCACAUCUCCUUCCUCUUCCAUGCGCUCAAAAGAACCAGUUGGAAAGAAAGGCAACACCAAAGUGAAAGAUGCAAUAAACAGCUUCGGCAAGGCAAAUAUUGCAGAUAUUUGCUCGAAAAUAACUCCAGGCGAGCUGAAAGAGGCUAAAAAGGCAACGUGCUGUCCUCGAAUAUCUUGCGCAUUGUUGAUAAAGAGAUUAGGGAAUCCAUCUUCAAAUUUUCUGAAAUAAACACAUGAAAAUGAUAAACACAUUAUUUCCCAGGAAAAGAAUAACCAUCAUGUGAAAUUGGUAUUCAAAUAUUAGAGAGCUGCAGAUUUUAAUACUGUAACAUCUACCACCACCAACUAAAUGGAAACUAGUUAAAAAAAAAAAAAAACCUUACAUGAACUGCAAAGAUAUACUUUGUUUAGGUAGGAUAAAAAAGAUAAACGACGGGAAAAGGACUAUCAUUAUUGUACUACGAAGCGAUAAAGAGCAGGUAAAAUGUUCCUUUACUAUAUAAGAGUAUCCAGUAGCAAAACACCCCUUUUUUUCCUUUUAACCAAACUCACUUAUAUAAGGGUAAAAUGUUCCUUUUUUUCCCUUUACUAUAUACAGCAUUCCAAACACAUAACAAGCAACUUAGUAGAGGGUUGGGAAUUGGGUGGCACCAUAAGAACAACAAAGAGUAUAUAAGAGUAUCCAAUAGUAAAGCACCCUUUUUUUCACCCUUUUAACCAAACUCACUAAUAUAACUACAAUUUGAUCUUUUUAGAAUAUGAUUUUCCAACAAUCCACAAACAUGUGGAAAUCACAAAAAGGAGAAGAGGCAAUGACUCCAUAAGCCACAAAAGAAUUUUUCUUUUUUUAAAGAGAGAAUCAAGCUCAGAUUUUUAAGCUUUUACAGCACUCCAAUCACAUAACAGGCAACUAAUUAGAGAGUUGGGAAUUGGGCGGUACCAUAAGAACAACAAAAAGUAUAUAAGAGUAUCCAGUAGUAAAGCACCUUUUUUUGUCCUUUUAAUCAAACUCACUUAAAUAACUGCAAUUUGAUCUUUUUAGAAUAUGAUUUUCCAACAAUCCACAAACAUGUGGAAAUCACAAGGAGGAGACGAGGCAAUGACUCCAUAAGCCACAAAAGAUUUUUUUUUUUUUUAAGAGAGAAUCAAGCUGAGAUUUUUAAGCUUUUACAGCACUCCAAACACAUAACAAGCAACUUAGUAGAGAGUUGGGAAUUGGGUGGUACUACAAGAACAACAAAGAGUAUAUAAGAGUAUCCAGUAGUAAAGCACCCUUUUUUUAACCAAACUCACUUACAUAACUACAAUUUGAUCUUUUUAGAAUAUGAUUUUCCAACAAUCCACAAACAUGUGGAAAUCACAAAGAGGAGAAGAGGCAAUGACUCCAUAAGCCACAAAAGAAAUUUUUUUUUUUUAAAAAAAAGAGAGAAUCAAGCUGAGAUUUUUAAGCUUUUAUAACAGUCCAAAGACUAUAUAAGAGUAUCCAGUAGCAAAGCACUCCUUUUUUUUUUCCCUUUAACCAAACUCACUUAUAUAACUACAAUUUGAUCUUUUUAGAAUAUGAUUUUCCAACAAUCCACAAACAUGUGGAAAUCACAAAGAGGAGACAAGGCAAUGACUCCAUAAGCCACAAAAGAAAUUUUUUUUCUUUUUUCUAAAAAGAGAGAAUCAAGCUCAGAUUUUUAAGCUUUUGCAGCAGUCCAAACACAUAACAAGCAAAGAAUCAGAUUACUGGGCGAUUUGAACAGUAGGAAACGAUUGAAAGGGAAAAACAAUAACAAGAGUAAAACAGAAGCAUGUCCCAAGGAAGCAGAGAAGAGAUGGAAGAGGAGAGAGGAGAGGUCACCUCCAGGCGAUGGACUGGAGCUGGAUGGAGUGGUGCGAUUGCUCGGCCACCUUCUUCGCCAGCUCUUCCGACUCGGCGCAGUAAAAUAGCUGUAUCUGCUUCUUCUUCCCACAUUCCCUCUUCUCCUCCAUCGACACUCCCCAAACCAAAUCUCAAAUCUCUCUUUAUCUCUCCCUCUCUCUCUCUCUCUCUCUCUCUCUCUUUCUCUUUUUUGUGCGGAAGGGACGGAAUCGAUCAACGAAAAGUAGGCACAGGGGAUCGAGUAAGAACCCUAGUUCCAGGAGAUCGAUCGGAGAAGAAACCCUAGAUCGCGAUCGCAGGGGAGGACGAGGGAGGCGAGGUAUCGUUGUGAGCGGUGGGAAUCUGAGGAGGAAGGCGAAGCCAGAGAAAGCAAAGAACCGGAACCGGGCCUUAAACACUCUGCAGAAUAUUAAAAAUGGUAAACUUCAAAUAUCACCUCGUGGUUUCGCAGUUUCUCAUUUUAGUAUCUUAUAAUUUAAAGUGUAUUAAUUUAGUACCUUAUAGUUUUUUUUUUUUUUUUUCUCGUCAGCCCCUCCAUUAACGUUUCGUUAAAUUAGAUACAAAAAAAAAUUAAGAUACUCCACCUGAGUUUAUCGAAUAUUCACUCUAAUAUUUUUUAGUUUUAACUUUGUUACUGAUUUAAUGAAAAAAAGGAUUAGUGAAAGAAAUACUAAAAAAGGAAAAAUAAAAUUACGGGAUACUAAAUUGAUAUAUUUUAUACCAUAGGAUACUAAAAUAAUAAAAAUAUAUAAAACAAAAGGGGUGAUAUUUAAAGUUUUUUUAAUUAAAAAUUAGCGUACAACAAGACUUUUGCCCCACCAAAAUAAUAAGCCAAGACUUUAUGCUAGAAUUAAAAAAAAAGAGACAAUAAAUAAAUGAAAUUAUUUAUCUACACGUUUUAGGAAAAAGGAGUUUAUACAUUGGUGAUUCAGAUGGAUGCAUAAAUAAACAAAUGGAAGGACAAAAUUGAAGUAUGAGGUUAUACACUUAUACUAGUGCAGGCCUGAGCAUAAUAUUUGAUAAUUAAUAUUUUAUAAAAUAAAAUAUAAUAUAUGAUAAUUUGUAUAAAAAAUUUAUGUAUGCAUUUGGUUGGGGGUUAGAGGAGGAUAAGGGGUUAUCCCCUUAUCCCCAAACACAUGUUGUUUCGUUUGGUUUGGAGUUAAGUAAGAACUAGUUAUUUCAGAGAUAGAUAUAAGUUUAGGUGUAAGUCUGGAAUAGACCAAUUUUACGUUUUCAUCUAAGUCUGGAAUAGACCAAUUUUACGUUUGGAUGAAAAUUGAGUUGUCGUCGGAAAUAAGAAAAAUAGCAUUUGAAUAGAUAAAAUGGAAUAAGAAGAAUAGUGGUUAGUUAUAAAUAGAAAAUAAUGAUAUUACUCCUUAUAUUUGAAUUUAAAUUUUUAAAUUUUAUAUUUAAAAUUUUAAAUUUAAAUAUAUAACUUUAAAAAUAAAAAAAUUAAAAUAAAUUUUAAAUUUUUAUGUAGUGUCCUGAAAUUAAAUAGUAUAAUAUUACUUUUUACGGAAUGAUUACAGUCAGUGAUUUAAUCGACACAUUGGAAAACUAUCGAGAUAAGUUAGAUUUAAUUUGGAUGCAAAAUUGAUGUCACAAUUAACUAACAGUUUUCUUAUUUUGUGCCUAAGACACAUUGCACCAACCCCAACCACCCAAAACUUAGAUUUUUGGAGUCUAGUGGGUCGCUGGACCGGACUCCUCCUCCUUCCUCUCUCUUUUCCUCUCUUUUCCUUCCUCCUCCAUUCACUUCUUCUCUUCUCGAAUUUUUUUUAUAACUAAUCCUAUCGAUUUUUAUAAUUAUAAAAAUAGUUUUCUUAAAAAAAUAAUUAUAAAAAUAGACUUUUAAAUGCGGUGAAUGAUUCACCGCAUUCAUAACUUCUGUUUAGGAGUAGAAAAAUAAUAAAAGCGGUGAAUGGUUCACCGCUUUUACCAUCGUAGAAUUAUAAAAAAAAAGUGAGAAAAAGAAAGAAAACUGUGAAUGGUUCACCGCUUUUAAAAGUGAUAAAUCAUUCACUGCUUUUAUAAGACUAUAUUUAUAAAUAAAAAUUUAACAGGUUUAUUUCUAAAAUAAAAUUUUAAAGGGAGACUAUUGCACUAAACACCCCUCUCUUCUCCUCUCCUUGUAGCCAGCUCCUGUGCAGGACUCAAGUUGCAGCCAGCAACAACUUUGGAGCAACCAAGCUGCCAGCAGCUUUCCGCAGGCUGGUAGUAUUGAGUUAAGAGUUUGGGGAGCUAUUUGGAUAUGAUUUAAUGCUCCAUUUUUGAAAUAUACUGCUUGCACUUGUGUGGGGAGAAGUUAGAAGUUAGCCCAUAUCUUCCUUGAGCUGGAAUUGAAGGUUAGUGGCCUAAAUUUUAAAGUUGAUCAAGGUUGGUUCAAUGUUGGAAUUUCAGGCUGAUUUCGUCCAUUGUCAGAAUUCAUUAAUGUUCAUAUAAAUUUUCUAUAGGGACUAAGCUUUGAAAAGGUUGGGAGUGAUCUUGACUUCGUCCUCUACUGCAUAGAAUCUUGUUUGAAUCAAUUCGGAGGUAAAAUGAAUGAGAAAUUCAUUUUUCGUUAAGGUCGAAGACCGAAAAAUUAUUUUUCGUCGAUGCUGAAAUUUGGACCUUUAUCUUUUAUUUGUGAUGGAAUUUCCUGGGGAAUAAAGGUUUUUCUUGUAGUGGAAACCCCUAAGAUCACUUGUGGACAAGUACCAAUUCCCAAUUUCGUUGUUGGUGGGUUGGUGGAGCAAGAAUGAAGUGCGAUUCACUACUGGUAGCUUAGAAGCAAGCAGCGGCAGCAAUAGUAGAAAUGGUAGCUGGAUUUUGGGGGAGAAUUGAUGGAAAUUGAUUAUUCCAAUCAAACAAUUCUAGCAUCCUCAUGAAUCAAGUGUUGUAUGGAGCCAGGGGAGAAAGUUAUUGAGCUACAUUGUCAAUGAAGAGGGCUUCAAUUGAGGUGAUUUUGUUGUAAUGCUGAAAUUGAGAGCAUUUGAUUUUAUAUUGGGAGUUUUGACUCCAAUUCUCUUAUGUGAGAUUCUUAGGACUUUCUUGCCAAUCCACACCUUUAUGUUAGCCAAAUUGAUGUUGCCCCCAGCUGAACUUUAAGGUACAUUGGCUCAAUUGUUGUUUCCAAGUCGAAUUUACAUGCAUAAUCGACUUUCGUUAGAAUUCUUACUCGGGUUGUGAAUGCAUUAAAUCCGGCAGGGAGUUUUGGAAUCUGCCCUCACCUUCCAUUUAUUUGGAGCUGGGAGAAAGUGCUUGUGAAGUUUCAGUUUGGUCCGUAGUCGGAUUAGCCCUCCAGGUGGAUUAAUGUUUACCGAAAUCGUUGGAUUUCUUUCUAAGUCAUAGAAUUGUCAGCAUGUAUUCUUGACUUUGUUCAUCAUGUUUAGUAGCUCGAAUUCUGAUCGUGGAAAGGGAGUUGCAAGCUAGAUCCUUUCCAGACUUGUUGCAGUGCUAGAAGAGUACCUCCUACAGGUAGUUUUGGAGUUUUUAUAAACAUAUGGUUGUUGUUUGUGUAUUCGCUGGAGCGAGUGAUGUAGUAGACUUUUUUGUAUGUACUAGAACCCCUCGAGGUUAUAGAUAUAUAUAUAUAUAUAUAUAUAUAUAACCUCUUGAGUCUAGCCACCACCCAAAAUGCUUAAGCCAGGUUAAGAGUUCUAGCCCUAUUAUAUUUUUUAUAUAGGACUAUCUGGGGUCUCACAAUCUCCCCCUCUUUAAGCUCUGACGUCUUCGUCAGGUUCAGACUCACAAGUACCAGGCGAUGUGAGACUCGUCUCGCUAGCCUCAACCGACCUUGGGGGGGGGAGCCGCGCUCUACUCACAACAGUCAACAGCAUGAGAGCCUCACUCUCCCCGCUGUAUAAUCCCGACUCAGCCGAGACUCAUCUCACACUUCCAGCUGGUAAUUGGCUCUGAUACCAAUUGUGACGCCCCAACUUCCCAGGGAGUCACCCAUCCUAGGAUCACUCUCAUCCUAGCACGCUUGACUCUUUUAACCUCUUGGGCCUAGCCACCACCCAAAAUGGUUAAACCAGAUUAAGAGUUCUAGCCAUAUUUUAUCUUUUAUAUAGGACUAUCUGGGGUCUCAAAGGGGGGAAUCGAAAAAGUCGGUGGGCUCCACCAUCUCUCAAGCAAGAAAAGAGCUGCCGUACUUUUUUUGGGUUCCCCUUUCAUGUAUUACCUAUAAGAUGUUAUCGUUUGUUAUUCCUGGCUACCAAAAGCCACUUCUAAUUCAUAAAGUGAAGACAUCAUUAGAGAAAUUUUACAGACUUUUAACUUUCAAAAAUUACAAUGAUAAAAACCAUAUAUAAAAAUCAAAUUCCAAUUCUUAAUGUUGACAACAAAUCAAGACAGCCUAUAUUGCUAUCGAUACCUGACACUUGAUGUGUUGUAUCGAAUAAGGCUUCAAGGUGUGUAGCAAAGUCGCCCUUUUUAAAACUUAAUUCAUCCCCACUAUUUGAACAAUUUGGUAUGUACUGAGCUUUCCAGGAUACGAUAAAGCAUAAACCACAACUAUGAUUGCACACACAAAGUUAGACCUUUGAGCACUUACUCGAUUAAAUUCUAAAAAAGAAAUAGAAUGAGAAACAAGAAAGAGGUUAUUAUGAAUGGAGACUUGAACUCUUUAUCUGUCCUUCAGCAGUCAACGUUAUAGGCUUAUAUAGACAACAAAUUGAUGUUUCACGAAGUGACAAUUUAUGAACGGGUGUUUCAUGAAUUCACUUUUUAAUUUAUGACUUUUCAUUUGGUCAUAACUACCAAUAAAUUAUAUGAGUCAAAUUAAAUGAAUACAAGAAUUAAUUCCUAUAGACAUUUGCAUGAAAGGGCACAUUAUAAAGUUAUAUCUUUUCAUAUCUAAUUUCUUCACUAAAAGUCACAUUCUUUCACAUUCAUUCACUAAAUGUCAUACUCUUUGAUUAGAGUCACAUUUAUUUACUAAGAGUUGCAUCCAUUCGCUAAAAAUCAAAGUGCAAAAUAACUAUAUUAUUUGAAAAUUGUCUUACAUAAUGAAAGUUCUCUGGAUUGCACCAAGUCAUACACAAUGGCGAGAUGUCGGCUUUCAAGGUUCACUUCAUUAUUCCGAACUAUCAUCUUAUCGCCUAAACGAACUUUUGCACAAACAACCUACGAAUAGAAGAGCUUGAGUCAGAUCGGUCAAGUGAAUGAAAAUCAAUCUUCCAAAAAAAAAAAAUAAAUAAAUCUAACCAUUGGAAAAUGCAGCGAUUGCUUAUGAAACCUCUUCCAUGCCCCAUCAUCUAAAAAUAUAGUUACAUGCAAGAAAGAAAUAAAUAUAGAUGCAAAAAAUAAAGAUAUAUUAGUGGACAAAUAGAUAUAAAUUUUGCUUCCCAAGUUCAACUACUCAAAUAUUUGAUAAAAAGUAGUUAGUCAGAGAUAAAUAGAUUAUUAAAACAUAAAGAUAUUCAUGAUACAUUCAUUAUCAGCAUCAGGAAGUUUGAUGAAGGUGCUGCAAUGAUAAUGAAAACAUAAUUUCAAAGCAAAGCAAAAUGUCAUCCCCAAAAUCGGUUCUUUUCUGAAGGACAAAAGUAAUAGUCAAGACGUACGUAAAGUAACUAACAAAAGUAGAAUAGUAGAGUAAAUUAAGAAAGCAAAAAAACUGGGACCAUCGAAUGAGACAUUAGAUAAUGUCUUCCUUAAAUAGGCACAUAAACUUCAAACAGAUUGAUUAGCACACAAAAAAAGAAUAAAAGCGUUGUGGAUGAACUUUGUACUUUUCAUCAUUGAGGGGCCGUUUGGUUGGAUGUAGUUGUAAAAACAGUGCAGUUGAAAAUACAUGCAGUUGUAAAUGCUGCAGUCAUAACAAUACCUAGUCUGUUUGGUUUUAUACAGUUGCAACUGCUGCAAUUACAUUUCUUCUGUUUGGCAGUCUGCAGUUGAGAUUUGUAUUUAUAAAUUCUGUAAAUUUUCAGAUAGAAAGAUAAGAUUACUUACCUCUUCUGAUCAUAACGUAAUUAUGUUCUGAUCAUAACGUAAAUAAGUACCAAUAGAAGGCCUUUCCUAAAACCGAUUGUUAACUUUCCCGAUUGAGCUUCCACAAGAACUCUUUACUCUAGGGCUGACGUUGAGGGCCCAUAUCUUGCACCAAGUCGAGAAAGGAAUACUAUUAUCAUCAAAAAUAUCUUUGUAGGAUUUCACAAAUAAUGAUAAGCAGUAUUAAUCGUUAGGGCUCCUUGUUUUUUUUUUUUUUUAUCAAGGGUCUAGAUCCACUUAUCUUCGCAAUCAGCAAGGGGAAUUUGGAUAUUCAUGAUUUGAUCAACAAUAUUCAAACCAAACAAAAUCGACAUUUCAAGCAUUUCUAGCAAUCAAUCUCGUCACUUUUUUCUUAAUGAGAUUGAAAGAAGUGUUAAUGAAUGUAGGUUUUCAAAUUGGAGGAACAUUAAACACCCAUGGGUCCUCCUAGCAGUAGUUUUUAUUUUUAUUUUUUUUAUUUUUAAUUUUAUUUUUUUUAUAUCAUUACCAAUUGAGAAGGCCUUUCCUAAAGCCAUGUAUGGAUCUUCUAAUAAGUGCCUUGGUCAUUACAAAAAAUAAUUUUUUUUCCUUUCACCCAAGGCCUUGCAAAGAUGAAAGUUUUUACACUUCCCACAUUAAUUAACUCUAAAUAACUAUUGGCACUUUUAAAGGCUUUGGGGGUUAAAAGAGCUCUUUUCGUAAUAUCAAGAUCCUUUAUUCCUAAAUCACCUUCUACUUGACAGGAUGUCACAACAUCCUACUUUAGAAGGUGCAUAUCUUUUUAAUUUUCAAUUUUUUCCCGAAAGAACCUUUUAGUAUACUCAGAAAAAUCAUUAUUAAUAGGCUAAAUUACAAAAAAUCUUUUUGUUAAUACCUGCUUUUCUUACUUUUCUCUCCUGUCAUUCAAAAACCUACCUUACCCCCUUAAAAAAUUAAAAAUGUUCACUUUGACCUAUAUUGACCGUGUUUUGUUAGGAUUCCGUUUAUAUCCUAUCUUUAUAACCAAAAUAUCCCCGAAACCUUUCUCCUUCCUCAUCCUCAGCAGCACCGCCUCUCCCUCGCCCACCUCUCUGUCCAUGCCCACACACACGCCCUCACCUGCCUCCGCCGCCUCGCCCUCGCCCUCGCCCAUCUCUUCGUCCACACCCACCCCGAAGAAAAUAAGGGGUAAUUUAAUCAUUUUGUCGCAACGUACCCUUCUGUGAACAUUUUUUUACUUUUUUAAGAGAAUAAAAUAUAGGUUUUUGAAUGACAUAAGGGAAAAGUGAAAAAACGGAUAUUGACAGAGAGGUUUCUCUAAUUUAGCUUUAAUAAUAUGUUGAGGAAUAAUAGAAUUUUCAAAAAAACAAUUCCGGAUAGGAAUACGGAAACCCUUGAUGAGAACAACUCUACCGACUUGGAAAAACAUAUCAUGCUUCUAACCACCAAAUUUAGAGCUAACCUUAAUAAACAAAUUAUGAAAAAAAAACAAUACCAAGCUUCUGAGAGGACAACACAAUACUAAGAUAUAAUAAAUACGCUAACGACACUAAAGACUUAAUUUAGAAAGAAUUGUAAAAAAAUUAUGAUAUACCCAACUAAAAAAGUAGGAUUAAAAAAUAUAAAUUAGUUAUGAUAUAUUUUUUACGGCCUCAUUUGAAAAUACAUCACACCGCUAAUUUCAUUUCAUUAUUUUCGUAGGCACCUGUGUUGAAUCAUACAAGGCCAUGAUUAAAUGCGGUAAAAGUAUAUGGAGACCCUUUUAUUAUAAAAAAUUCUGAAAAAGCUCCUUAGAUGAUAUUUUGUCUGUUAAGACCUUUCAUUUGUUUAUUUUUUGGAUUCAAAUAAUUAUAGCCAAAUAAUUUGGGGAUUUUACCAAAUACAUUGACAAUUAUAUCAAAUUUAAUAGUUUUACUUUGAAUUAUUUAUCUAACUUUCUAACUUAAUUAACUAAAAAAAAUUCAAACCAAAAGUUACAAGGCAAAAAGUCAAAUUUGAGGGAUCCAUUUCAAACGUACAAUAGUUAGGGGGUCUCCGUACAUUUUUCCCAUGAGUUGAUACAACAACCUCUUCGUCGCGAAUUCGCACGCACCGAAUCGCGAUUUCUCGGGCCCUCGUCUCCGACCCUCUCUCUCUCUCCCCCCCCUCGUCUCCUUCCUCCUCUCUCUUCCUCCCUCUCCUACACUUUCUCUCUCUCCNCGCCGGAGGGCCAUGGACGAGUUCCCCGGGCUCCUGGCCCGCGACUUCGGCUUCCGCCCCCAGGACAAAUCCGCGCCCAUGGCCGCGUCGAAGCUGUCCUCCUCCUCCUCCUCCUCCGCCUCCGCCUCGUUGCGGAGCAAUCCGAGAUCCGGGUGGAGCCAACCCGAUCCCCUCCUCGGAGACCCCGCGAUCGGCCCCAUCUUCGACGGGUUCGGGGAUUCGGGAUCGAAAUCGGCUUCGUCGUUGCCGGUGUUCGACAAGCCCGUAUACGACGACGACAUCUUCGGCGGAGUCCCCGGGGUGAAGAGCUCCUCGGUCGCGUACGACGACGUCUUCGCGUCGAUGAUGCGGUCGGGGCCGAGCCACGCCGCGUCGGCCCCUCCGUACGAUGAUCUCCUCGAGAAUCUCGGGAAGGGAGCGCCGGAGACGAAGGGCGGUGGCGAUAGGAGGUCGGAGGGGAGGAAGGCGUCGGAAUUCUCCGAGUUCGAUGAGCUGAUACCUGGAUUUGGUGGGAGUAGCCCUCCUAUGCGGAAAAGGUUCGAAUUUAUAAGCUCAAAUUAGGGUUUCUGAAAUGUUAAAUCUUUUAUCGUUUUGUGUUUAUUGAGCUGCGGAACCAUGUCAAAUUUAUAAUUCUAGUUAACAAUGUUUUGAUUUUUGAUGGUUCAGUUGAUUGAGAUUCACUGAAAACAUAUAGCUUGAAUUACGGAAUUAUGCCUGAUGUUAAUACUAUUGAAGCAUGAAUUAACUGGUAUGAACACUGUCUAGUAUUUUGCUGCUGUUUCCAUAUUAGAUAUAUUAUGCUGGAUUUAGGAGUUUGCAUUUUGCUUAUAGGUAGCGGUGGCAUUGACUAACAAUGUCACUGUUGUUUGGUGCAAUGUAGUCGCUAGAUUGAAAUGUGGAUGACAUUGAUUGAAUGAGGCCACCUUAACUGAAGAAAUGUAUGUUUCAGUAGAAACUGAAGUCAAUCUGCACACAACUUCUUGAUUCAUAAGUAGCUGUAGUUGACAGAUUAUCGCUUUGUAUGUAGGCUAACUUGAUGUAUGACGACUUUCUGUUAGUUAAAAAAAAAAAUCAAAUUAAGUAAGAAUCUGAAAAGGAAGGUGGAAAGGUUUGUUAGGCCGCAAUGAACCAAGGCUACCUUGAUGCUGCAUGGCUACUCAAUCACUUCGUCAGUUGGUUGGCCAGUUCACAGGUUUGCACCAAGUUGUUUGGCUGGUGAAUCAAGAUUCAUUAGUAACCCCCCUCUGUUGACUGGUUGCAACUAGCCACAUACCUUAGGUUUAUAGAUUAGAUUUUCUAAUCAUUUUGAAGACAGAGGUUCAAAAGACUUCCAGAACUUCUAUUCAGCAUUUAUUAACACUUUUUUGUAGCUGAUCCCCAUUCAGCGGUAAAUUUUCUUAGAUAAUGAGGUUGGAAUUUAUGUUUAAUUUGUGAUCUUUAAAAGUUCGUCUAUGUGCUAAACAGAAUAUUUGAGGAAUUUAUGUUUAAUUUGUGAUCGUUAAAAGUUUGUGUAUGUACUAAACAGAAUGUUUGAGGAAGGAUUAUGUUAAGGAAGAUUUGUAGGCAAUAAGGAGCUGAAAUCAGAUACAAUUACAUGAAAUAUGCAGACUGUUAUCCUGCAAUCAUUCAUGUUGUGUGGAAGCACAUAAGCUUUGUGUCUUGUUAGUUGCUUCAACAAAAAUAGUGUAGAGGUCGAUUAGGUCUAAUUAAGACUAAUUUGAGCCUAAAUUUUGUUCCUAAUGGUUAAUUUUGACGAAUUACUUUUGCAUUUCUCCGAUUUGAGUCAAUUAGUGGGUUGCUGGGCUAUACUUGAGUUUGAGUUGUAUUUCCUUUGUUAUGGAAUUUCCUUAUAAGCUUUCAUUCAUAUUUUAUGGCUGGUUGAUAUUUUUCAGAAGAGUGCUAUCUAGAGAGGUGUUGAUGGGACUAUUUCAGGAAGAUUGUUUGGUCACACCUUUGUUUUCCUAAUAAGAAAAGUUAUAGGUUAAAACAAAACUAGGAAUGUUGUAUCAUAUAUGGUGUCAAAUAAAUCCUGCUCUUGUACAUAAUUUUUUUUGCUACAGGCACUUAUUAAAAAAGAAAAAGGUGCAUAUAUUUUGGAGACUAAAUGGGUGAGAACUUUUUUUUGGUUCAAUCUGGUGACUUCUUCAUGCAUCUAGCGAAGGAGAUUCGGUGAUAAUGUCCAUUAAGAUGGUAAAUUGAGUCUUUUCUAGCUAGCCAUAAGGGUUCUUCAGCUAAUCCUCUUCUCUAUUGCUGCUUCCAUUGUUUCUCCCUUUUUUCAUUCUAAUUUCUCUCUUCUUCUCUUUCUGAAUGUUUUAGUGUUCACUCUAUCCCAAACUUAAUUCAUAACACAUUAGUUUACUAUGACCUUCUUAAGAUUUCUUGGCUUCUCUACAUGUUGCUUCCCCAAUUGUGACACUGUCACUCCUGAGAUGUCUAAUAUUUCCUUCCUCUAUUAGCCCUUCAAGUUCCUGUUUUGCAUUGGUAAAGUUUGAUGGUUUUGUUGUUUUCAGCUCUUGUACUUCCCUGCUUUUUAAUUGCUACCGUAUUUGUUGGUGUUAUUUUUGUGAAGUUGAAAGUUCUUUUGCAGGGAAGCUCCUCGGACUAAUGAACAGAAACCUGCUGUUCCAUCAGCUAAGCCAAGCGGCAGCAUGGCAGAUGAUCCCUUCGAUGUAUUGAAAACAGCUUCUACUUCAGCAUAUUCAUCCUCCGGGUUGUUUGCUGAUCCAGUGCAGCGUAACGUGGACACCUCUUCUACAACCGGUGGUGGGAAUUUUGAUACUUCAAAUGAUUUUGAUGGUCUCUCAAAAUCAGUGCCCUUCUUUACUUCUGAGGUGAAUAACAAGCCAAAGGAGAGAAGCCCCCCAAACAACAUACGAGACUCAAGCCCUGUACAUAAUUUUACUCGCAAAGAAUUGUUUCAAGGAUCUUCAAUGGACUCUUUUGAAAAUAUCACCCCUGAUGUGCUGUCUGCUAAGUUUUCAGAUUCCAACGAAUAUGUUACCACCAGUGGUGUUCAAAAUUCAGAACAAUUGCCAAAGUCUAACGAACAUUCUGAAACAGAAGAUGACGUAUGGCUUACAGUUGCUGAAAUUCCUCUCUUCACACAACCCACGAGUGCUCCACCACCUUCACGGCUCCCACCACCACUUAGGUCAUUUGAUGCAAAUGCAAAAAGGAAAGAGAAUAAAUAUUUCUCACAAACUAGUCUAAGAGAUAGUUACCAAAGAGACUCAGAGAAGAAAUCAGGAGUGGCUCCACUAGAUGAACUAGAUGAUUUUGUCAUGGUUAAGCCUCAGAAGUUUGCUUAUGAGGAAGAAAUUGAGAAAAAUUCAUCUAUGGCGGCAUCUGCAGCUGCUGAAAGUACAGAAUUCACACAUAAAGAAAGAGAUACACAUGAUCUGGAAGAAAGAGAGAAGCAAGAAAGGUUGCAACGAGAAAAAGAAGAGAGAGAAAGGGAAGAGCAAAAGAGACUUGAAAAGGAGAGAGAGAAAAGGGAAAGAGAGAGGGCCAGACAAGCUGUGGAGAGGGCUACAAGGGAGGCACGGGAAAGAGCAGCUGCUGAAGCUCGCCUAAGAGCAGAGCGAGCUGCAGUACAGCGGGCAGCUGCAGAAGCACGUGAAAGAGCAGCAGCGGAGUCUAGAAAGGCUGCUGCAGAAGCUAGAGAAAGAGCUGCUGCAGAAGCUAGGGAAAGAGCUGCAAAGGCUGAAGCCGAAGCUAGGGAAAUAGCUGCGGAGGAAGCUAGGGAAAGAACUGCGGCAGAAGCUAGGGAGAGAGCUGCUGCUGAAAGGGCUGCUGUUGAGAGAGCUGCUGCAGAAGCACGGCAGAGAGCUGCUGCUGAAGCGAGAGAAAGGGCUGCUGCAGGAGCUAGGGAAAAAGCUGCAGGAGCUAGGGAGAAAGCUGCUGCUGAAAGGGCUGCUGUGGAGAGAGCUGCUGCAGAAGCACGGCAGAGAGCCGAGAGAGCAGCUGUAGAAAGAGCUUCUGCUGAAGCUAGACAGAGGGCAGCGGCUGCUGCAAGAGAAAAGAUGCAAAAAGCUGAGAAUGACCUCGAAUCAUUCUUUGGUACUGGGUUUCGGGCAAGCAGUGCAUCGGUGAGGACAUACUGAAUAACUGCAAUAUGAAGUUCAAUUUCAACGUAUUAUUAUUUAAUAACUUACUAUUUCAGGACACUUUGUUUAACUCUCAAGCUCAAACUAGAGGAAGUUCUGAUGUGUCACGAAGUACAUCUUCUGGUUCAGUUCCCAACACUAGGAAGACAUCAUCAUCUACAACAAAUAUUGUUGAUGACCUCAGUUCUAUAUUUGGAGGUAAUUUAUUGUGUGAUUUCUACAUCUACCCUUGUUGGCUGGGAUUCACUGUUUAGCUGACAGUCUUGUUCUCUUUAGCCCCUCCAUCCUCUGGAGAAUUUCAAGAGGUUGAAGGAGAGAAUGAAGAAAGAAGGAGAGCUAGAUUUGAACGUCAUCAAAGAACCCUUGAAAGAGCGGUAUUUUUUAAAUUUAUUUAUUUUCUUUCAUGUUACUGUAGCUGCUUUUAAUUAUGCUGCUGUACUUCUUGCUUAUUGUUAGGCAAAAGCUCUGGCUGAGAAAAAUGAGAGAGAUAUGCAAACUCAAAGGGAACAGACCGAAAGACAUGUAAGCCUUCUGUUCUGAUGUAAUGUGUAGUUAAUUUGUUUUGGAGCUUUGAAGAAAAUUACAUAAUUGAAACAAUGUCUUUACUUACAAUAUAUAACUUAAUUUCUUGAUGACUAUUUUAUCUUUUCUAUUCGUUCGUGUGUUCUCUAAUAGUGCUCUAUGCUGAUUUCAGAGGAUAGCUGAAACUCUAGACUUUGAGAUAAAGCGUUGGGCUGCUGGGAAAGAAGGCAACUUACGUGCCUUGCUAUCAACAUUGCAUUAUGUGAGUCGGUAAUCUUUUAUAGUUUGAGUUGUCCCUUCUCUCUUCCUGUACAUUUUUUUUUCUGUCACACGCGCGCACACACACACACACACACACACAUAUAUAUUAUGCUAUCACAAUUUUCAUCUCUCAUCCUUUUUUUCUUGUAUAAUAAUGUAAUAAAUAGGAUUGUGAUAUCUUUUUGCACUCUAGUGACCUUUCUUUGGAGUUGGGUAUCUCACAAACUAGACAUCUCCUAGGAGUGGUUCAUGUCACUUGUUGGGCAUAUCAUAUUAGGAGACAUUUAUUUUCAUACGCCCUUUAAGCACCACUUCAAACUAAUACUAUGUUAUAGCAUGUACAUGUCUUAGGGCUUGUUUGGCCCAACUAGAGCUUCUAUGUUAAGUGCUUUGGCUGAAGUCCUAAUAUCUUUUCAGUAAUGUCCUACUGAUAUCUGCUGAAUCUAUGAGCUGAAGCUUCUGAUUGGAGCUGCUACUUAAAGGAUCUAAAACCUCAUUUCAUGUUUGCUAGCACUUGAUACUGUACUUUUUUGCAGCACAAAUGGUUUAUUCUAAAUUUAGAAAAGCUGACAUCAGAACAAUUGGUCGAAAACCUCAUUUCAGCUUUGCUAGCUCUAGACCUUGAUACUUUUUUGCAGAACAAAUGGUUUAUUCUAAAAUUAGAAAUCAGAAGCGGGUUCAAACACGGCCAAAGUUAUCAAUUGUAUGUUGACGUACAAUAUUUCAGUGGCCUCUGCAGAUAAUACACAUAUAACUUUUUCCCAAAUGUUACCUAGUAUUUUUCUGGAAUGUCACAGGAAUGUUACCUAGUUUUUUUUUUUUUUUUUUUUUUUUUUUUUUUUUUUUUAACUUAAUAGGGUUUCUUGCCGAACUCAGAAGCUCCUCUAUUAACUUUUUCUUAAUUUAUACUUUGCUAGUAUUAUUCUAUUUUCUACACUAGAUUUUAUUUUUUUUAAAAAAAUCUCUUUUGUCAUUUCAUCUUUUAAAAGAAAUGUAAUUUGCAAGCAGGUACUUUGGCCUGAAUGUGGCUGGCAACCCGUAUCAUUGACCGAUCUGAUUACGGCUGCUGCCGUGAAAAAGGUAUACAGGAAAGCUACACUGUGCAUUCAUCCUGAUAAGGUGCAACAAAAGGGUGCAACUCUUCAGCAGAAAUAUGUUGCAGAGAAGGUGUUUGAUCUUCUCAAGGUGUGCGUCCAGCUCAAAAUUUCUCUCUUCAGUUGCUUCCACAAUCUUUUUCACAAAAAUUGAAUCGGUAUCUUGGCCUAUCUCACUAGAUUGAGCUGUAUCCGCAACCAAACUUUAGACGUAGUCAUCAAGAUUCGUAUGCUGUUUUAUUCUAUUCUCCUCUAAUUGCGCAUCUUGGUUUAGUUCAAAAUUACGCCGUCGGUUACUUAUCAAAAAAAAACUCAACUAAAAUUAGCUUUAGAUCCUUGCAUUUAAGGAGAUAAAAUCCUUUUGUCUCAAACAGGAAGCAUGGAACAAGUUCAACUCCGAAGAGCUCUUUUAAAAUGGGCUAUGGGCACAACAUUUGUGUGAUCUGCGCGAGAUAUUGCAAGGGCAAGCAACCACAGUGUGACCACAGUAAAGCGUUGUUGUGAUUAAUUAUUUUUUAAACAUAUUCUAAUUCUUUUCGUGUUUUCCACCUGCGAUCGAUCAUUUUGAUGGUGCCUUUCCUGGCUACAUUGCUGCUCCAGAUAUAGAAAUUGUUCCGAAGUGUUGUAUAUCAAAUUUUGUCGCCCGACGAGAUCAGUAUUGAGCGAGGCCGUUGCGAUUUUACGGGUUCUCUGUUACCUUGUAGCUUUGUGAGUGUGUGAAAACAAAACCCACCUUAUGUGUAUACAUGCAUCUUCUCCAUCAAAUCUCUUGGAUAUUUGUUUGAUACAAUACUAUAUUUGUUGAAUGUUGGUAAUGUUAAAGUGCCAUUUAUAAAUAAUAUUAGUAAAGGGGGGUAUUUGAGUUUCGAGUUUUGUUGACAUUGUUCUUCACUAUUGUAACUUCAAUGUGGGCGACAAUUCGCCUAAAAUAACAAUUACCAGAUUAGACUAGUGUAGAUGCUAAACUAAGGCUCUGUUUAGAUGCAUUAAUAUUUUGUUCAGUAUAUUUGUUUUAGUUAGUAAAAAAAAUUUGAAAGUUGAGGAGUUUGAUAUAAAAUGUCUGGAAGGGAGAUAUCAUAUUUGGCCUUUGAGGUCAUUUUUUAGAGUGGGAUAAGUAAGCCUAAUAGUUUGAAUUGUCUUGUAAAGUUUGGACCGACUAAGGAUCUGUUUGGUAUUAUGACUUAUUUUUGCAUUUUUUAGUGGAAUCUUAAAAAAAAUAUAAUUAUAACCAACUUAUUGUGAUGUAUAGAGUGUGAUAUCAUAUUUGGCCUUUGAAGUCAUUCUUUUUAGAGUGGGAUAAGCCUAGUAGUUUGAAUUGUUUAUAAAGUUUGGACCAAUUAAGGAUUUGUUUGGUAUUAAGGUUUAUUCUCGUAUUUUUAAGUGGAAUCAUAAAAAGGAAAAAUAUUAUAACCGACUUAUUAUGAUGUACAGAGUGUGAUAUGAUAUUAUUUACAAGUUUGAUAUGAUAUUAUUUACAAGUUGAAUAUAAAAGGGCAUAUUUCAAAAUGACCUGUUGUGGGAUUUCUCAUGCACUUUUUUAUAAUGUAUGGAGAUUUCUACAUUAUAUAAUUUGCAAACAUAGAAAUUGCCGCAUAAAGUUUGGACCAAUUAAGAAUAUGUUUGGUAUUAAGGUUUAUUUUUGUAUUUUUCAGUGGAAUCAUAAAAUAAAAAAAAAAAAUAUUACAACUGACUCAUUAUGAUGCACAGAGUGUGAUAUUAUUUAGAAGUUGAAUAGGCGUGGAUCAAAAGGGCAUAUUUCAAAAUGACCCAUUGUGGAGUUUCUCAUGCACUUUUUUACCCACCAAAUGGUAAAAAUGUUUGGAGAUUCCCAUUAUAUAAUUUACAAACAUACUCCUCACAUUAAUAGAUCAAUUAAGUUUUAACUCUUUUCUACCAAAUAAUUAUUCUAUACUUGAAUGUGUAGAGCUACUAUACUAUCGAAAAUAUAGAAAACCUGAUGCUUCCAACUUUUUGACCAUUGGAUUAAAAAUUAUAUGGUUGGGAUAAUUGUGGUCCCCCCAGAGUUGAGUAGUGUCCCCAGGGCUGAGUGAUCUCUACAAGGUAAUAGUACUAAUCCAAAAGUUAGAAACGACCAAAGGGGUUAAUCUAAGGGCCAAAAAAUCGGAAGCACUAGAUUCUCUAUACUUCUGAUAGCAUAGUAGCUCUACUCUACUUGAAUAAUUAGAUUUUAAUUUUAUUGAACUUAUUUAUUAUUUUUAAUAAUUUUAUUC
rnacentral:lncRNA from 1 species